CAAAAACUUCGCUAGCGGUUUGCCGUUUGCCGUAAACGUCAAUAGAGACCUUAAGAUUGACGUUUACGGCAAACGUCAAACCGCUAGCGAAG